rnacentral:rRNA from 1 species
CUACGGGGCGCACCAGUGGGGAAUAUUGGACAAUGGGGGAAACCCUGAUCCAGCAAUGCCGCGUGUGUGAAGAAGGCCUGCGGGUUGUAAAGCACUUUCGGUUGGGAGGACUGCUUCUAGCACUAAUAUUGUUGGAAGUUGACGUUACCUUCAGAAGAAGCACCGGCUAACUCCGUGCCAGCAGCCGCGGUAAUACGGAGGGUGCAGGCGUUAAUCGGAAUUACUGGGCGUAAAGCGCGCGUAGGCGGCUAGAUCAGUCGGGUGUAAAAGCCCCGGGCUUAACCUGGGAACUGCAUCCGAUACUGUCUAGCUUGAGUACAGGAGAGGGGAGUGGAAUUCCACAUGUAGCGGUGAAAUGCGUAGAUAUGUGGAGGAACACCAAUGGCGAAGGCAGCUCUCUGGCCUGAUACUGACGCUGAGGUGCGAAAGCGUGGGGAGCAAACAGGAUUAGAUACCCGUGUAGUC